AAGUAUCUCCGAAUCCUCGUAGCGAGGAUAGGAGUAACGGCUGGUUGGCACAGCCAUCAACGCUCCUGUUUGACAAGGAAACUGGUGUAUUUGCACCUCAAGAACAGGUAGUGUCGUAAACCCUAAUAUCCCAAAUCAGCGGUAGCGGUACCGUGGGAUUCCCGCGCCUUCAGGCGCUGGA
rnacentral:ncRNA from 1 species